CCUACGGGCGACUGCAGUGGGGAAUAUUGCACAAUGGGGGAAACCCUGAUGCAGCGACGCCGCGUGAGUGAAGAAGUAUUUCGGUACGUAAAGCUCUAUCAGCAGGGAAGAAAAUGACGGUACCUGACUAAGAAGCCCCGGCUAACUACGUGCCAGCAGCCGCGGUAAUACGUAGGGGGCAAGCGUUAUCCGGAUGUACUGGGUGUAAAGGGAGCGUAGACGGCAGCGCAAGUCUGGAGUGAAAUCCCCGCGCUCAACGUGGGAACUGCCUUUGAAACUGGCAAACUGGAGUGUGUGAGAGGAUGGUGGAAUGCCAGGUGUAGGAAUGAAAUCCGUAGAUAUCUGGAGGAACAUCAGUGGCGAAGGCGACUAUCUGGCACAUAACUGACGCUGAGGAGCGAAAGCGUGGGUAGCAAACAGGAUUAGAUACCCUUGUAGUC
rnacentral:rRNA from 1 species